ACAAUAUUUAAUGAGUAGAACCGAUUAUUCCUAGCGUAGGUGGUAAAAGGCUUAAUGGUUGCUAUCCGAAGUUUCAAAUUCGAAUCUUAGUUGAUUCAUAUUUUCAGCUAAAUUUAUUUUUAAAUAAAAUAAACGAAACGGUUAGUAUGCUACCUAUCUCUCUCAAAAAUAAUAAUAAUAAUGANCGAAAAGAUUUAAAAUUUGAUUUCUAAACACUUCAAGUGGUAUAGAUCAUGUUCAACGGUGCCGAUCGUCGAUUCGGAGGCUCCAUCAUCGAAAAUAAAUGGGUGGCAACGGAGCCCGUUUGCUAUCGAUAGUAUUCUAGCUCAACUCAUAUAUAUAUAUAUAUAUAUAUAUAGAGGAGAGAGAGAGAGAGAGAGAGAGAGAGAGAGUCCGGCUACUAUACUGUUAUGAGUACGAUCGCCUUCGUACUUAUAAGUCGUUUUCGAUGAUAGAACUUUCGAAUCAACGAUCUAUAUCGUUAAACAUUAUCUAAGUCCAUUUAAAACUUUUAGAAAUUAAAUUUCAUAAUUUUUUAAAAUCAUUUAGCUUACGAUCAGAAAAUCUCAAAAUUGAUAAUUUUUAACGGCCGGUAUUAAAUACUUGUUAGUUUAACGGUGUAAAAGAAUCGGAAUCAGUUAAAUUUUUGAUAAAAAAUUUUGUUCACUAUCUAGAUAAAGAUCAAUAACUCCGAUAUUAAAUUAAGGAAUCCGAUUAUCCAUUUUUAGGAUGUUAUUCAAUUUUGAUCGUUCAUUUUAUACCCGCUUGAUGGACCUUAUUAUGAUUUUUGAAAAUUACGAAAUUUAUUUUCUAGAAAUUUUAAAUACUCUAGAUCAUAUUUAACGGUGUGGAUCGUCGAUUCUAAAACUACAUCAUCGAAAAUAAUUUAUGAGUACGAAGGGCUCUAUACUCAUAAGAGUAUAGUGUGAAAUAACCGUUGUGCUCUAAAAGCUUAAACUAUUAGAGAACGAUGCUUAUAUAAUUUUGUAUUUAACAUAUAAUAGCCCUACUCUCUCUCUCUCUCUCUAUAUAUAUAUAUAUACACCCUACA
rnacentral:lncRNA from 1 species